UCGACCACCACAUCAUGUGGUUUAUAAAAUAUGAUUUAAAAACAUAGUCUCUUUAGGAUUUUUCCUAUGUAAAAUAAGAACUUUCACUUUUCAGGCAAGGUUACUGAGAAAGUGGCCCUACUUGUUUUUCAUGAGUUUCAAACAGAUGAUUUUUAUAUAUUUCUUUAUAUGCGAACAUAUAUAUAUACUCUAUAGUAAUUGGAUUGUUAUAGAGAAUUUCAGUAUAUACCAUUAAAAUUAUUAGUUUUGUAUAUGACAAAACAGUGACCGACUACAUAAAAAAUAGAGUUUUCAGGAUAAGCUUUAAGAAGGAAAAUUCUAUGCAUUUCUUUCUUUGAUACUUUUGUUUAACAGAACAAAUAUAAUAUAUGAGUGGACAUAAUGAAGUUAUUGAAUACGUUUAUUUAUUUUUGGGUCCACAAAUUUUAUGUGAAAAUUGUUACAAUAUGAUGUUAAGUUUCAUCAUGAUUCAACGUCGUAAUUAAAAGAAAUAUAAGUGUACAUGAUAAUCGCUAAAAUAUAUUGUUCAAUGUUAUAUAAUAAUGGUAAAAUAAUAAAAUUUUGUUGUUAUUACAAUAACACGUUGGUUAUUACAAUGCAGACGUUAAAAUAUAGGAGUAAUAUCUUAUGAUGAGUGGAUGUCAUGAAAUUACCCAAUCAUCGUGAUUCACUUUUGGUCCCCUAACCUUCAUGUUAGGUUUCUUACAAUAUGACGUUAAGUUUCAACGCGAUCAAACUUCCUAAUUACAAGCAUCAUAAGUUUAUAUAAUAAUUGUUAAAGUUUGUUGUCCAAUGUAUAAAAUUAAUGAUAUUGUUAUUACUUUAACAACAUUGGUUACUACAUCAUGGUCGUCCUAUCAAUGUGUAAACUAUUAGACCAACUCCCAGGAUUGAGAUUAAAACCUAAAUUUUUAGCUUAGAAAAUUUAGGUUCAAACUUAGAGACAACUUUUCUCUUCCAACGGUUGGCUUAAAAUUUUAGCCUGAAAUUAGUAAAUAAUGAUUUUACCCUUUUUUUUUCUUUACUUUUUUUAAAAAUAAACUUUAUUUAGACUAUCCUAAUUUAUUUUUAUGAACAUUUUAAUCUAAAAAAAAAUUUAAAUUUUGAUAAAUAAUAAAAAAUCACUGAACCUACUUCAUUCUUACACAUAUGCACCACAUGAAAGAACACAGAAAACCACAAAACCUACCCAUUCUAAAACACUAAUACAUAGGUGGGUAGAAAGAAGAAAAAGAAGAAUUAUUUGACGCAAGUGGAUUUUGUAUGAAUGUUUGAACAAAUACAUAGGUAUUUAUAAGAGUUUUUAGGUGAAUUUUGAUUUAAAUA
rnacentral:lncRNA from 1 species